rnacentral:rRNA from 1 species
UACAGAGGGGGCAAGCGUUGUCCGGAAUUAUUGGGCGUAAAGAGCUCGUAGGCGGUGUGUCACGUCGGCCGUGAAAACCUGCAGCUUAACUGUGGGCGUGCGGUCGAUACGGGCAUCACUGGAGUUCGGCAGGGGAGACUGGAAUUCCUGGUGUAGCGGUGAAAUGCGCAGAUAUCAGGAGGAACACCAAAGGCGAAGGCAGUGUCCUGGGGAGUACCUGACGCUCAGGUGCGAAAGCCAGGGGAGCGAACGGG